rnacentral:rRNA from 1 species
UACGUAGGGCGCAAGCGUUAUCCGGAAUUAUUGGGCGUAAAGAGCUCGUAGGCGGUUCGUCGCGUCGGCUGUGAAAACCUGAGGCUCAACCUCAGGCCUGCAGUCGAUACGGGCGGACUUGAGUACUGCAGGGGAGACUGGAAUUCCUGGUGUAGCGGUGAAAUGCGCAGAUAUCAGGAGGAACACCGGUGGCGAAGGCGGGUCUCUGGGCAGUAACUGACGCUGAGGAGCGAAAGUGUGGGGAGCGAACAGG